CCUGGCUGAACAGGAAAGGAAACAAACUAAAGUGAAACAGAUUUACAAUAUUUCAUACUUCCUGUAACAGUGAAACAUUGAAUUCGAGCAUUACCAUGAAAACACAUUUUAGACAAUAUUUCCGCGGUUGAGAAGACGGGAUUUCACAGGAAAAAUCAUGUUGGAACUGCUCAAAAUCUAGCUAUCCAAGGCAGUAGCCAGUAACUUUAUUUCCUAAUUGUCGUGCACAUGUUGCCGCGCAGUCUUUCAUUGCCGCAUGACUCAAGAGUGGAUUACAAUAUGGAGCAAAAGCUUUCAGAGUUCAGAGCUCGAAGAAGGGCUGAUGUGGCUCCUAAGAAGAGCGAAAAGCAGCCCAUAACAUCAUCUGACAGUGGCAGCACUUUGAUCUCGGCCAACUGCCAGUCAUCAACAGCUGAUGCAGACACACAGGAGUUUACAGAAGAUCCAAUUUCUGCUGUCGCUCAGGCUACAAGGACUAAACAUUGGGGGGAUGGCUGGUUGCUGGAGAGCAAUCUGGGUCAAUGGCUUGGUUCGAAACGACUGGCUUUCACAAAUCUGAUUUUGCUGAAGGUGUUGCUUUGGCUGGUUCUACUUGGGCUGUUUGCCGAACUGGAAUUUGGGUUGCCUUUCUUCCUUAUCUCUCUCUUCUACUGGCUGUACGAGGGGCUGCGGAGCCCAACUGCACGUCAACCAGGAGAACUGAGCGCUUAUUCAGUGUUCAACCCAGACUGUCAGCCUCUCCUGGGGGCACUUACUGCAGAGCAGCUAGAGGGAGAGAUGGGCUACAGACCACUGGCCAACAGAUGAGACCCUCAAACAACUGACUUUAUUCUGACAUUUAAUAGCUACUGUACUUUAAGAUUUCCACUGUAAUAAAAAUGAACUGGAAAUGUAUUUAUUUGAAUGGUGCACAUUGCUGAUGUUGAUUUUGAAGUCAAAUGUAGCCUAUUCCAAACUACAAGAUCUUCAACACUGCCACACAUUGAUGAUGCUGUGAAUGCACCAACAUCUACUUGUUAAUUCCAUUAAAAUGGGUGUACUUGAAACUUAGAACAUAUUACUGUACUUUGAACACACACACACAGAGAGAGAAGGUUGACAGUGUCUGAAAUAUUUUAGAAAAAUAUACUUUUUAAUAUAUCUGACAGUGCUCAGUUUCCUUGCGCUUUACGACACGACAGAUGUUAUUGGCCCUUCGUUUGGGACUUCCAAACGGUACAAGUUGACAUCGACAAGCGGGCAGAGUGGCCCACGUUUUGCGAGCAUGGCGAGGCCAGAGAUUGGCAGACUAGUAAAUUGGGCUAAGGAACAGAAGGUGGGUAUUGGAAAAAGGCCAGCAGUGCAUGUUCUACGAGCCCAUAUAGCGGAUGAAAGCACGGCGUGAGCGUGGUGAACGAAUAGACGUGGUUAUGGACAGCGAUGAAGAAGGAGAAGAGCAGAGUGCAGUGGGAAGAUGUGUGUUGGGGAAAGCGUAUUCUGAUGGCUCAGAAAUUGAACCUGAUGAGAGUGAAGAGGAAUUACCUGUGGUGGCAGGUGUGGUGAAGACCUCAAGAGUCCAAGCCUCGCCCCAAUGGUCACGCAAAGGAUGAUUUGGGCCCAGUGAGAGUCACAAUUUUGGAGAAAGUUGAUCUCUGCCUUAUGGAUCAGCCAAGCCAAAUGUAGUCUCAGGCUGGGUAUAAAAUAAGUUGUUAAAUCUGUGAAGGUAGCUCAGAGAGAUCAUUUUCUGUGUUUCUUCUGUCCAGAGGGAGCAGGUGUUUCGUGUCGGGUUUAGGGACAAGACCUGUGACUUGCUUUACUCUGGAGCAGGGCACCUUUGAAAGGAGUGAUUACUGGGGUGGCAUUGUGUUGAGGUGGAGCAACUAACAUGAAAGAUCCCCUUAGUCAGUGACACCGCCGUUUGGUGGUGAAACUGAGAAGACAAUGUCUGUCAGUUUGAGUUUUGAAGCAGAAUCUAAAAUUAGGAUAUGUCAGUUAUCCAGUGAGAGCUUUUGUGUCGCACCCACUAAGGUGUUUCAGAUGCCAUGCUUUUGGUCAUGUUGCAGCUCUGUAUAGGAGGGAGAUUCCGGGAUGUGAGAAGUGCGCAAGAGGGCAUGGGACAAAGGAAUGUGUAGUAUCCGUGGGAAAAAAUGUCAAUUGUAGGGGUGCCCAUGUUGCUGGGGAUCAGAAGUGCACGGAGUGACAGGUUGAGGUUACCAGGGUCAAAGGUUGCCAGGCUCAGAGUAGAACAGAAGGUGUCGUAUGCUGAGGCAGUGAAGAGAGUAGAAGAUGAUGGGUCAAGGGUGAGUACUAGGCCAAUACAGAGUCAUACGAAUUUGUGCUUCAGUAAGGUAGGCUUCUUAGCAGUCAUUGCCAUGGUUAUCAACUGUACCGCAGAAAUGGAACGUAAAUCACAGAAAAUAGAUGUUGUGCUGGCAGUUGCUGAGAAGUACUUGGGUGUACAAGGUUUUACUGCAGAAGAGUUAAGGUGUGUUGAGAGAAAGAGUCCGAUCCUCCCAGGCGUCAGCCUGGUGUAGGAACAGUGGUUCAAAGUAGUGGAAUGGGGUGGUGAUGAAUUAUUUUUAUGAAAGUGGUAUAUAGCUGUAGGGUUAGUUGGUGGUGCAAUUUUUUCCUUUUCCCCCUUCCUUGUAAUUUUGUAUCACAAAAUGUGACGAGAUCGACCACACACUACUGUACAGUAGGUGGCGGCAUGCACAAACAUCAUGUGCAAACGCCAUGAUACCAAAAUAGAAGAAGACAACAACGAUGAUGAUGAUGAUGAUGAUGAUGAUGAAGAAGACUGACGUCAUCACGUACGCCCGAACAGGAACAGGAAGUAAACAUACCAAAGUAGAACAGAUUUUAAGAUAUCGCAUCUGCGAAUGUGUCAUACCACUCUUUGUGGCAGUGAAUCGUUGAAUCACCUCAGUGCAUUGAAAGCAUCUUAUAUAACAUUUCUGCUAUUCAGAAGGCGGGAUUUCGCACGAUCGCGAGGCAAUCUGCUACGUAGACCUCUCAACAAUUCAUCAAGCUAGAUGGCUAGCUAGUUUUUUUUUUUUUACCAGGGAUUGAUACGCGCCGUGCACAGCGCGCACAUUGCAUAGAUUGCCACGCACUCUAUAAUUUCUGCAUGAGCAUGAGUCAGAAGUUGUUAACAUUCGCAAAAGCUUGUAGAGUUCAGAGCCCUGUACAAGGGCUAGUGAAAUGCAGCCCAUAACGUCACCUGGCAACGGCAACACUUUGAAGUCAGCCGGUUGGGAGUCAACAGCUGAUACAGACGCACUGGAGUUGACAAAACAUCCGAUGUCUGCUGUCCCUCAGGCUACAGGGACUUUACAAUGGGGGGAUGACUGUCUGCUGGACUGCAUUCUUGGUCGGAGGCUUGGUUCAAGACGACUUGGUUUUGCAAACCGGACUUUGCUGAAGGUGUUGCUUUGGCUGGUUUUGCUUGGGGUGUUUGCUGAGCUUGGCUUUGGGUUGCCUUUCUUCCUAAUCUCCCUCUUCUACUGGCUCUACCAGGGCCUGCGGAGUCCAACUAAACUUCAACCUGGAGAACUGAGCGCUUACUCAGUGUUCAACCCAGACUGUCAGCCUCUCAUUGGCACUCUCACAACAGAGCAGUUGGACUGUGAAAUGGGAAUACUACAGCUAACCAUGUAAAGCAGUGUUUCCCAACUCCAUUCCUCCAGUACCCCCAACAGCACACAUUUGUUGUAGCCCUGUACAAGCACACUUGAUUCAACUUGUCAACUAAUCAUCAAGCCCUCAAUGAGUUGGAUCAGGUGAGUUUGUCUGACUACAACAAAAAUGUGUGCUGUUGGGGGUACUGGAAACACUGACGUAAAUGAACUGUUUUUAAAUGUGUGCGAGUUACGCCUUUUGUGUUAAAAUGAUGUUAUGUUUUUUUGGUUGCACCUAGACUCAAUGAACAAUGCACACUGCUGUUGGUUGUAAUGUAAAACUGCUUGUUAAUUCCAUUAAAAUUUCUACAUCUCACUA